UACGUAGUGUGCAAGCGUUUCCGGAAUUAUUGGGCGUAAAGAGCUCGUAGGCGGUUUGUCGCGUCGAAUGUGAAAACCCGGGGCUCAACCCCGGGCCUGCAUUCGAUACGGGCAGACUAGAGUUCGGUAGGGGAGUCUGGAAUUCCUGGUGUAGCGGUGAAAUGCGCAGAUAUCAGGAGGAACACCGGUGGCGAAGGCGGGACUCUGGGCCGAUACUGACGCUGAGGAGCGAAAGCGUGGGGAGCAAACAGG
rnacentral:rRNA from 1 species